GACGAACGCUGGCGGCGUGCUUAACACAUGCAAGUCGAGCGGUAAGGCCCUUUCGGGGGUACACGAGCGGCGAACGGGUGAGUAACACGUGGGUGACCUGCCCUUAGCUCUGGGAUAAGCCUGGGAAACUGGGUCUAAUACCGGAUAUGACUCCAUAACGCAUGUUGUGGGGUGGAAAGCCUUGUGCAGCUAGGGGACGGGCCCGCGGCCUAUCAGCUUGUUGGUGGGGUGAUGGCCACCAAGGCGACGACGGGUAGCCGGCCUGAGAGGGCGACCGGCCACACUGGGACUGAGACACGGCCCAGACUCCUACGGGAGGCAGCAGUGGGGAAUCUUGCGCAAUGGGCGAAAGCCUGACGCAGCGACGCCG
rnacentral:rRNA from 1 species